rnacentral:lncRNA from 1 species
AAAGCAAGAACAAAGGAAGAAAAGAAAGAACAAGAACCCUAGGGUGAAAAUUCAAGAGAAAAUUGGUGGAUUUCAAGUAAUCAAGCAAUCAAAGGUAAAAUUUCUUGAUUUUGACUUGUGAUCUACCUUUCCCAUACAUUCUUUUGCAUUUUCCAUGGUUGAAUCACAUGAUUUCAUGAUGGGUAUCUUGCUGGCUGAACACUUAGAGAGAGGUUUUGAUGCUUGAUUUGGUUAGAUUUCAAUGUAUUUUAGUGUUUUUAGUUGAUUGGUGAUGUGUAGCAUGAAAAUCAAGCAAGAAAAAUUCAUGUUCUUCCAUCACCCAUCAUUGGCUGAAUUCUCCAUGUGGAAUAUUGAGGAUGAUUUUGAUUUUAUUUCAAGUGAUUUGGUUAGGAAUUAGUGAUUUAUGGUGUGAGAAUCAAGUAGGAAAAAUCAUAGUGUUGAUGCACCCACCAUGGCUGAAUUUUCCAAGAGAAAAUGUGAGGAUGAUUUUGCCAUAUUUCAAGUUAUUUAAUUUGUGUUUGAUGAUUUGGAGUAUUGGGAGAAAAAUGGAAUUAUUUGGAGUUAAAUUGGACAUAUUGGCCAAUUAAUCGGGUGAUAGAUCGAAUUAGGCCAAUAUCGUUUUAUUUAGGUACAUAAUUGAAUUUAUAUUGAACACCGUAUUUAGAUAGUUACCCAAGUAUUUCACAUCCCAUUUCAUGCAUUAGUAUAGAGCCUGAAUUGGUUUUAUAACAAUUUAGCACAAAUGUAGUAAAUGGCUUAUUGCGCAUUAUGUCUACGUGGUGAGCAUUAUGGCAAAAGUAAAGAGAUAGUACCCGAGGAUCAAGAAUCGGAGUACUCGAAAUUCGACUCACGAAAUAGUGAGUAACCUUACUAUCGUCUUAAUUAUCUAAAGUAGUUUUUAUUCAUUGUGAUUUUAUAGAAAAAUAUGUUUAAAUGGUAAAUCUUUAGGUUUUAUAAACAAAAUGUGUUUAAAUGAAAUGAUUUUAUAAAUUGUCUUGAAAUUUAAUGAUGGUUUUGAAAAUGGAGUAAUUGGAGACUAAUUGCUGUGUUAUAAAUCAUGGUUUGAAUGGAAUGGCUUAUGAUAAUAUUGGCAUGAAUGGUUGAAUUGGUAUUUGUGUUGAAAAUGCAUAAACUGUUGUUUGCCUUGAUAGGCUAGAUAAUAAUAAAAUUGCCAUGUCAUGCUAUUGAAUUUUACUGAAUUGGUGGGUUAUUGAUUAGUCGCUGCAGUGGACGGGUUUCGUAGACCAGCCUAUUAGAGGGGGCACGGUAACCCUAUUAUAUUCAUACCUCAGUAUAAGAGGCGCGGUUGGAUAACUCUUGAGGUUAACACUUUAGAGUUCACUUCACGCCAAACCACCACGUGAGGGUGAACUCAGCUAAUGCCAAGGAAUGACUAUGUUUUCAAAAUAAAAACAUGACUUAUGCGUACAUAACUUUUUAUCAGCCUUGGCGGACUCAGUUGGGAUAGCCCUCGACCAAGGUAUCCCUGAUAACUGAGUAUAAGAAUGAUUUUGGCAUGAGCCAAAGCUUUUAAUAAAUUCAUAAGCCAUGUUGAUUAUUCGAUUUAUAUGAAUUGAUUUUAUUUGGUUGAAACGAGUUGAAAGGUGAUGAAUUACAGUAUGUUAAACUAUUUUAUCUGUCUCCAUUGACUCAACUUUAGAUAUUUUAGAUGAUAUUUGUUUACUUACUGAGAUUAUAUAAUCUCACCACCCUCCUUUCCACCCAUUUCAGGCUCAUGAUAGUAGGUAAAUAGCUCACUUUGUUGAGGGCUACAGUUGGACUUGCAUCCCUAAAAACUGUAAGUUAACCGCUUUUGAUACUUUUGGUCGUUCGUGGGCCCACGUGUCACUGUAAAUUAAAUUUUAUACUUUGGUUAUCUGUAUUACAGUAUUUAUAAAUUUAUUUAGCUCUUACGCUACAAAAAUUAUAUACCGGUAACUCAUAUAUAUUGUUUUAUA